UCUCUUGUAGCUCAGUGUUCAGAGCAUUGGUGUGUAAAGCCAGAGGUCUCGGGUUCGAUUCCCGGCGAGGGUG
rfam:Agrilus planipennis Contig45454, whole genome shotgun sequence.